GGGCCCGCACAAGCGGUGGAGUAUGUGGUUUAAUUCGAUGCAACGCGAAGAACCUUACCAGGGUUUGACAUCCUGCGAAUCUCUUGGAAACGAGAGAGUGCCUUCGGGAGCGCAGUGACAGGUGGUGCAUGGCUGUCGUCAGCUCGUGUCGUGAGAUGUUGGGUUAAGUCCCGCAACGAGCGCAACCCACGUCUUUAGUUGCCAGCAGUUCGGCUGGGCACUCUAUGGAAACUGCCCGUGAUAAGCGGGAGGAAGGUGUGGAUGACGUCAAGUCCUCAUGGCCCUUACAUCCUGGGCUACACACGUACUACAAUGCUACGGACAAAGGGCAGCAAACUCGCGAGAGCUAGCAAAUCCCAUAAACCGUGGCUCAGUUCAGAUCGUAGGCUGCAACUCGCCUACGUGAAGGAGGAAUCGCUAGUAAUCGC
rnacentral:rRNA from 1 species